CAGCCGCCGCGGUAAAACGGAGGGCGCGAGCGUUACCCGGAUUUACUGGGCGUAAAGGGCGUGUAGGCGGCCUGGGGCGUCCCAUGUGAAAGGCCACGGCUCAACCGUGGAGGAGCGUGGGAUACGCUCAGGCUAGAGGGUGGGAGAGGGUGGUGGAAUUCCCGGAGUAGCGGUGAAAUGCGCAGAUACCGGGAGGAACGCCGAUGGCGAAGGCAGCCACCUGGUCCACUUCUGACGCUGAGGCGCGAAAGCGUGGGGAGCAAACCGGAUUAGAUACCCCUGUAGUCCCUGUCUCUUAUAC
rnacentral:rRNA from 1 species